UUGUCUUUGUGAUGGUACAGCAUUUGUAAUUGCACCAUGAAGCAUGCUCAGAAAUACUAAAUUUGUCUCCCACUGGGAUGUGGAAGGUCCAUCUUCUGCUGAGAAGUGUGAAGUAGCUUUGAAGAAUCAAACAAAAAUCAAAGGUGGUUGCAGUUUGAGGAAACAUCGGAUCCUGUCACUGAAGAAAAAGCAAAGCAAAUCCAAAAAGAAAUAGGAACAAGAGACACUUCUUCAGGGAUGUCAACAGUAGACAAUAUUGGCUGGUUUUGAUAUUAUAUUCAGAAAUAUGAAUCUGAAAUCAAUUGCCAAUGCCCUGAGAUUGAAAAAAAUUUGACUUAAAAUUGGGAGAAAAUAUAUGUGUCCUGUAGAAGUCAGACAUUUGUUCUGUGUGAUGGCAUCUUGGUGGAGCUGACCUGACAGUAGUAGCCUAAGCCUACAGCCUGCCAAUAAGAAGCAUUUUCACUGCAGGGAUGCCCAGAGAAAGUGUUAACCACAUCAGAGAUGGCAGCAUUUACUACAAAUGGGGUAGCACUGAUUUUUCAGGACACGCGGCCCUAGAGUUAUUGAGAGCCAUCCAGACCCUCCGCCUGCUGUUCUGCACUUGCUGCGCGGAGCGUGCACUUUAAGGAACAGACCUGAAUAUCAAGAAAGAGAAAACCGGUUUAUUGGAAGACCUCAAAAGACUGAAGCAAGACAAGCAAGCUCUUGAAGCAGACUUGGGAAAAAUGAAGACAGAGACCAAGCCAGAGAGCAGGUGCAUGCACCUCAUGGAGCACGCCGAGCUGGGAUAGUCACUUUAUACUCGUAACUGUUCUGAACUUGAGUUCUGUCUGCCAUCUGCAGCCCACAUCCACACUGCUCACCUGUGUCAGACCACCUUCCAUCUAUAAACAUUUUCAGUGGGACAGUUGGAUGAGAACUAAUUACAGCAGUCAUGAAA